AGCACAAACAGGCGGUGUGACACAGUUACAGCAAGCAAGGAGAGACUAAGGAGGUCAGGAGGACACUGGUGUGCGGGGGUAGGAUGAAUCAUCUCAAUAACAAGAAGGCUCAGUCAUGCUUGUAGGAAGCACUGGGGCCGUGCAGCACUGCCAAGUGCUAGAUGAGGCUGGAGCCAGUGCCAGGAACCCAUUACAUGUGAAGUAACAACAGAGAUGGAGCAGCUCCUCCCAGCCCACGUGCUGCCUGCGUGCUGCCAUUCCCAGCAUCUCAGCAGUGUGCACACCCAGUUCCUUGUGCUCCCACACAGACAGUGUCCUAGAGGGGAAUCCACUGGUGUGGGUGCCUCCCAUGGAGGACUGUGUUAGCCCAGCCUGACUCCUCAGGGAAACAUGGACACAUGGAUGCUCUUGGGUGUCUUUCUGUGCACGUACAGGCUGCAGUCAAGUCUCCAUGAAUCUGAAACAUGUGGGAGGCAUUUUUCCCACUUAGGAUUAAACAUAGAAGUGUUGGCUAUCAUUACUAACAAGCAGAGAAGCUCUGAAGGCCAGCUUGAAAAAGAUCUAACUCAUUGAUUUUUAACAGUAUCUAUCUAUAUAUGGGUCUUGAUAGUGCUUAUAGUGAUUUUAUAUCACUCCAAUGAUCUAGUGCACGUACCAGUGCAUUAACAACACUGGUGUGCUGCGAUGCUGCUCAUCAAAUAAGCACAUAUUUUGCUUAUUUCCCUAUUCCCUUUUUUUACAAGAAUCUCUUCCUAUAGGGAAAUUUCCAAGAGAGAGGCUCUGGUUUCUCUAAUCAGCAAACCUACAAAGUCUGUCUAUCAUGUGGCUAAUAAAAAACCGAAUAAGCAUCCUCCUAGACCUUGGCACUGUUCACCAUCCUAAGGUUAUACACAGUUUAACUGCAGCUUUUUGCAUAAGAGCUUGAAAUACAGCAGGAAAAAUACCUUUAUCCCCACUGUUUUCUUUACAGUCAGUGACAGAAACAGGCACUGUAAGGAUGGGGUUCAUCUAAUCAAGUCCAUACCACUGCAGGAGGAGAUAAACCACGCUGCAGGCUCCACUGACAAAGCUGAUUAGAUCUCUGUUGGCUCUAAAAGGGAGGCUCGUGAUCUGAAGACGUUUGUGUGUUAGCUACCAAUUCCCAGGCAUGAAUCCCUCCCUUACUGUGGAGCUGAGGCUGUGGUUUCACGAUCAGCAUCAGCAGCUGUGUGCUGCUGCCAGUUCUCUGUCACACACUUUUCCCUGCCCUAAUCACACGGCUCCAUGCGUCAGCUCCAGCAGUCCUGCAGCCUUGGUAAAUAGGAAUAAGUUGUUGAACUGGCUGAAAACUAAUGCUGAAGAUGAAGAGUUUGGUUUUGGUUGCACUGCCAGGCAGAGCUGAUGCCCCUCAUAGCAUCCUAUGUCCUAACUCCUAGCUCUAAGGUCUGCCUGGGGACAGGAGUGUCAUUUCUGAGGAGGAAAAGUGAACUGCCCUUUUUCGGGACUGGGUUUUACUUGGACUAGCUUAAGUUGACCACAAAACAGCCCCUGUGGAAGGCAGUGCUGAAAAUGGACAGAUUUAGUUGCAGAGCGUAAAGUUAACAUGUUUAUGGUUA